AAUUUUGCUGAAGCAGCAGCAGGCCAGAGGCACUAGCAGAAACCAUCUGACAGAAGACAAAAGUUAAAUUAGUAAGUAGAGAUUUAAACGCUCAUAUACAUUUUUCUUAAUUGAUUUAUACCUUAUUCUAAUGUUACGUUUUUCGUUUCACUCUAGUAGCAGCACAAGUACGCUGGCGGUAAAGCAGGUGGGAAGAGAGUCGUCCUAAAACAUUCAUUAGAGUGACGUUACACAGCUGCACUUGCUGGCAGGCGAUUAUGAAGCAGGCGGGGACACGCAUGGAGUCGUGAUAAAGGCCCAUGGAUUACGCUGCGGCACUUGCGGGCGGGCGGUCGUGAAGCAGGCGGUGACAGGGAUGGAGUAGUUAUGAAGGCCCAUGGAUUACACUGGUAAGUUAAUGUUUAACACGUCUGCACGUUUUGGUUUAUUGUCUGUAAAAGGUUUUAUUUCAUACGGAUGGACAAGGUAUAACGUUAAAU